CCAGACUCCUACGGGAGGCAGCAGUGGGGAAUAUUGGGCAAUGGGCGCAAGCCUGACCCAGCAACGCCGCGUGAAGGAAGAAGGCUUUCGGGUUGUAAACUUCUUUUCUCAGGGACGAAGCAAGUGACGGUACCUGAGGAAUAAGCCACGGCUAACUACGUGCCAGCAGCCGCGGUAAUACGUAGGUGGCAAGCGUUAUCCGGAUUUACUGGGUGUAAAGGGCGUGUAGGCGGGACUGCAAGUCAGAUGUGAAACCCACGGGCUCAACCUGUGGCCUGCAUUUGAAACUGUAGUUCUUGAGUACAGGAGGGGCAGGCGGAAUUCCUAGUGUAGCGGUGAAAUGCGUAGAUAUUAGGAGGAACACCGGUGGCGAAGGCGGCCUGCUGGACUGUGACUGACGUUGAGGCCCGAAGGCGUGGGGAGCAAACAGGAUUAGAUACCCGAGUA
rnacentral:rRNA from 1 species